rnacentral:antisense_RNA from 1 species
UUUGAUCGAACCCAGCCACAGCGGGCGAUCGGCCGGGCGGUCCUGGCCGUAGGUCGCCAACAACGCCUGCGCCUC